rnacentral:rRNA from 1 species
AUUGAACGCUGGCGGCAUGCUUUACACAUGCAAGUCGAACGGCAGCGCGGGCUUCGGCCUGGCUGCGAGUGGCGAACGGGUGAGUAAUGCAUCGGAACGUGCCCAGUAGUGGGGGAUAGCCCGGCGAAAGCCGGAUUAAUACCGCAUACGACCUGAGGGUGAAAGCGGGGGACCGAAAGGCCUCGCGCUAUUGGAGCGGCCGAUGUCGGAUUAGCUAGUUGGUGGGGUAAAGGCUUACCAAGGCGACGAUCCGUAGCUGGUCUGGGAGGACGACCAGCCACACUGGGACUGAGACACGGCCCAGACUCCUGCGGGAGGCAGCAGUGGGGAAUUUUGGACAAUGGGGGCAACCCUGAUCCAGCCAUGCCGCGUGCGGGAAGAAGGCCUUCGGGUUGUAAACCGCUUUUGUUCGGGAAGAAAUCCUCUGGGCUAAUACCCCGGGGGGAUGACGGUACCGGAAGAAUAAGCACCGGCUAACUACGUG